AAUGGGGGCAACCCUGAUCCAGCCAUGCCGCGUGAGUGAAGAAGGCCUUAGGGUUGUAAAGCUCUUUCACCCGUGACGAUGAUGACGGUAGCGGGAGAAGAAGCCCCGGCUAAUUCCGUGCCAGCAGCCGCGGUAAUACGGAAGGGGCUAGCGUUGUUCGGAAUUACUGGGCGUAAAGCGCGCGUAGGCGGCCAUGCAAGUGAGGCGUGAAAGGCCUGGGCUCAACCUGGGAACUGCGUUUCAGACUGCACGGCUUGAGUCCGGGAGAGGGUGGUGGAAUUCCCAGUGUAGAGGUGAAAUUCGUAGAUAUUGGGAGGAACACCAGUGGCGAAGGCGGCCACCUGGCCCGGUACUGACGCUCAAGUGCGAAAGCGUGGGGAGCAAA
rnacentral:rRNA from 1 species